rnacentral:rRNA from 1 species
UACGUAGGGUCCGAGCGUUGUCCGGAAUUAUUGGGCGUAAAGGGCGCGUAGGCGGCAUGACAAGUCACUUGUGAAAUCUCUGGGCUUAACCCAGAACGGCCAAGUGAUACUGUCACGCUAGAGUGCAGAAGGGGCAAUCGGAAUUCUUGGUGUAGCGGUGAAAUGCGUAGAUAUCAAGAGGAACACCUGAGGUGAAGACGGGUUGCUGGGCUGACACUGACGCUGGAAGCGACGGAAAGCCCAGGGGACGCAAACGGG